CAGCUAUAUCAUGUUGAAACACUGGAUCUCAUAUGAACAUCAAAGUUAAGCGAUGUUGAACCUGGUUAGUAACUAGAUGGGUGACCACUUGGGAAUACUUGGAUGU